CUCUAAGAGGUGGGGAACAUUACAAAUUGGAAUGAAACAAAAAAGACUAGAAUGACUUCUGCCUAUGGAUGACACAGACAAGUUAAGAAAUAGUCCAAAUUUUU
rfam:Picea glauca, whole genome shotgun sequence.